CGGACAGUACAGUCUGCUGACACGGUACACACCACUGACUUCUCCUGCCCAUCAAAUCUCUGUUCGAUGGCUGAGAGGGACCCAACGAACACAGCUCGUGUCUAAGGAUGGAAUAUGUGAGCAGCAGCCAGGAGGCCAGUGGCCCCAGAUCCUGGAGUUCACGGUGGUGAGGAUGGUGUAAGAAGAUUGGAGGGAGAAUCAGCUCUUCUCAGCAACACAGUGACCCAAGACAAGAACAAAGGACUCGAAAUGGAAAACGCCAUCCGUGUCCAGGAAGGCACACUCGGCAGCUUCAUUCCAGACCUGGAGAGGGAAAGGAAGAAGGGAGAUGGAAAGAGAGAAACAUUCUGGGGAAAAUCUGUUAUGUUGGUCUCCUGUCUUGCUCUCUGGUUGUUUGGAAGCAUCCUUUCCAGGAGUAAUCCUCAAGGAAAGGAGAAGGGAAGACAGCUGGAACUCCGCUACUCAACAUCUGGGCUCAGUAUCCUUUUGCCUUUCUAAUAUUGUCUUGAAAGAUCUCAGGUUGGUCUAUUCUGAUACUGAGUAACAAUCCUAGGGCCAUGUUGCCACAAUGUUACUCUAACACUAAAGAAUAUGGAAAGUAGCUUUUUAUGGAAAGAAUUUGGAUUGGGGAUGUUGGCUCAACUCUUUUCUCUAGAAGCUGUUACCUUGGCCAAAUCAUUGAACUUCUCUUAACUCCAGUUUUCUCAACUCUGAAAUGAGGACAAUGAAUAGCUGUCCUUCCUUAAUUUACAAAGUUGUUAUGAGGCUCCACUGAGGUUACUUUUAUUUUAUUAAAAAAAAAUCCAGACCACUGACUCCGCCCUCCCCCAAAACCCCCAGAUCUCAUGCCACAGAAGAGCUUCUAACCAACCAAUGCCUUAGCCCAGGCUACCAGCCAAUAAGCCUCUGGUCUUUAAAGAGAGUGGAGAUAAGGAGAUUCAGCGUGUGGAACACUGGAAAGAAAAUCACAUCAUUUGAACUCCUAGAUCCCACCCCUGGUCUACUCACAACAAAUGUCAAUCACAAUAAAAAGCAAACCAGAGAACUAGCCAAGAGAGCUUCCCCUAACCUUUCCCCUUAGGUGGUGAGUAUGAGUAAAAAUCUAUUUACUUAGAGACUAAGUGCAGCUAACGUUGAGUUAUCUCUGACCUCAAAUUCUAUCCCCCCAAAAAACAAAAAAUGAGGCUAGGACAGGGGAAAAAACUGUGGACUGGUAAUCUGCAGACCUGCCCCACCUCUGCUACUAACUUGUCAGGCAAUCUUCCCUCAAAUCCACCUCGUGAUGCCAUGUCUAAGGUUAUUUCACUUAGUUUACGCUCAGGAAGCAUGACGGUGUUGGAAAAGGGGGGGGGGAGGAAGGGAGCAGGAGAGGGGCAGGGUCGUGGUCCCUGGGUCUUUCACAUAAUGCCUCUCCAAACUGCAGGAAGUACUAGUAGCCUUUUAGGUUUUGUCUUGCAAAGGACAGAGUUGGCAGGGGCUGAGUAAUUGGGGAACCCCAGAGGAACCUCGAGAGGUCACGUCACCCACAGCUCUGCCACGGGCCCGAAGCCCACAAGGGAUGGAUGGGCUCGGCCCGGGCCCUCCUCUGGCGCUGGGGUGCCCAGGGGAUUCAGGUCCUGAGCCUCCGCCCAAACCCUGCUGGUCCCACAGAAGCCCACGGACAGCGCCGCCCUCCUCGACCCCAGCACUUCGGGGCGGUGGGAGGGGACUGCAGGCCCAUCGGCACGGGGCCUCGGGGAUGCCCGGAGCAGCCCAGAGGGUGUGGGGCGCCCGUCGGGGUCGCGGGCGGGCGAAUGAACA